AGUAAUGAUAUUAUCAAGCCCAUUUCAACCUUACCUACUCAGAAAAGUAAUAUAUACAGUCUUCCUGAUAAUAUCUUGUUCAUCUACUAUGCUUUUGUAGACACAACACAAGGUGGAAAUGGACAAGAGAGAUGGCAAGUUCGGUCCACAGCCAAUGGCGGUGCCUCCGCCUCAGGUAAUGUCACGGAUUGAUCAAGCAACUCCACCCGCAAUCGGUUAUCCUCCACAAGGUUACCCACCUUCUGGUUAUCCGCAACACCCGCCACAAGGUUAUCCACAACACCCACCUCAAGGUUAUCCACCUUCUGGUUAUCCGCAACACCCUCCACAAGGUUAUCCACCUUCUGGCUAUCCUCAAAACCCUCCAGCUUAUCCUCAAUACCCUCCCGGUCCGGCUUAUCCUCCUCAGGCUUACCCAAAGUAACUACUCUUUGCCUGGUUUCUCUGGAGACUU
rnacentral:lncRNA from 1 species